CAAACAUAAAUAUUUAUCCUUUUUAAACUGCAAACAUUCUUUUCAAACUGUAAUAUUCCAAUCGCCCGACAAGUUGGGCAUAUGAAAAAUCAAACAAUUGAAAACACUGGUUAUGCAAGUCGAUUUGGCUAUCUCACAAUCCGCCAGAAAAGUAUGCAAAAAAUAUAUACAAGGGCAAAAAAAAGCAAAAAGCAAGACAAGCGGUAUGAGAUUAAUAAUAAUAUUGAGUUGUAAACCGAAAAUAUUGAUUCUAAUGCUUAAUAAUUCGAGUUUACGACUACGGUCAUGAGCCUCACUAUAAAGAAGAAUUACUUAGUGAGCCGUUGAUUUAUUAUAAAAGAAUGAUUAAACGUACCUUUUGUUCAAGACUACCAUUCUCCAUUAAAGAUAUGCGAUUAUCUUCCUCUUGAUUAAUAUACAUCUUGAAAGAGGCUAUCUUCAAACCUGUGAAAUAUCAAUUUAUAUAGAGCAAAUGGUCAGAGAAUGAAUGGGCUUUCUUCCAGAAAACGAGUUCACUUAAGCCAGGCAGGCCCUAGUCCUUAUAUACUAUCUAUUUUGCAGAGCUAAAGGGACGAUUGUUAAAGCGGAGAUAAUGUCAGCAAUACUGGACUACUCUAUGAUACACCAUGUUGCGUAUUUCUAUAUGUCACAAGCUCUACAUUGUAUUAUAGAUACCCGUUGAUAAAAACUAUUAGUAAGAUUGUAAAUGGAGCUUCUACUGAACCUCGUUUCACAGUUCAGUUAUGAGCUAUAUCGGUGACCGAUACUAACAGACUUCUUAUAACAAUAAAUAUAAUAUUGUUAGUUAACAUACCGCA